GACGAACGCUGGCGGCGUGCCUAAUACAUGCAAGUAGGACGCAGUUGCGAACGGGUGAGUAACGCGUAGGUAACUACCUAUUAGAGGGGGAUAACUAUUGGAAACGAUAGCUAAUACCGCAUACUAGUAGAUGGAGCUGCGUUGUAUUAGCUAGUAGGUAGGGUAAAGGACUACCUAGGCAACGAUACAUAGCCUACCUGGGAAGGUGAUGGGGCAAACUUGGACUGAGAAACGGCCCAGACUCCUACGGGAGGGAGCAGUAGGGAAUCUUCGGCAAUGGGGGGAACCCUGACCAAGCAACGCCGCGUGAGUGGAGAAGGGUUUCGGAUCGUAAAGCUCUGUUGUUAAGGAAGCGGUACUUAACCAGAAAGGGACGGCUAACUACGUGCCAGCAGCCGCGGUAAUAC
rnacentral:rRNA from 1 species